rnacentral:rRNA from 1 species
GACGAACGCUGGCGGCGUGCCUAAUACAUGCAAGUGGAACGCUGAAGGAGGAGCUUGCUUCUCUGGAUGAGUUGCGAACGGGUGAGUAACGCGUAGGUAACCUGCCUGGUAGCGGGGGAUAACUAUUGGAAACGAUAGCUAAUACCGCAUAAGAGUAGAUGUUGCAUGACAUUUGCUUAAAAGGUGCAAUUGCAUCACUACCAGAUGGACCUGCGUUGUAUUAGCUAGUUGGUGGGGUAACGGCUCACCAAGGCGACGAUACAUAGCCGACCUGAGAGGGUGAUCGGCCACACUGGGACUGAGACACGGCCCAGACUCCUACGGGAGGCAGCAGUAGGGAAUCUUCGGCAAUGGACGGAAGUCUGACCGAGCAACGCCGCGUGAGUGAAGAAGGUUUUCGGAUCGUAAAGCUCUGUUGUAAGAGAAGAACGAGUGUGAGAGUGGAAAGUUCACACUGUGACG